AGAUAUUUCAUGCUGAAUUUGUAAGCUGGUGGUGGAUUCCAGUUCAGAAACAAGGAUAUUUUUGGCCUUUAUUAAUGUUCACUAACUCAGAUGAUAUUUGUGGAGGGCUUAGUUAGUGCCUGGCGGGUUGCCAGCGACAUCCGGCGAAUAGGACAUGACACCUGCCCUGUGCUCCUAAGGAGGUAGUGAAGGCUGGACAGAAGCCAGUCACUGCUGCGACGGUGUGAUUCCAGCUCCACCGGAAGGAACCCAAGGGGACAGUAUGAAUGCAGUCCCCCAUUACCACAAAUUAUGCAGCGUUUCCUCCAUUUGGGGAAAUUGCAAGAGUCAGCACAUCCAUUGUGCAAUGGAUAAGUCUCGCCCUGGGAAAACCACCUUUGUGAUCAUGGUGUUUCCCCUACCAGAAUCUCAACACACCUAUGUGGGUAUUUAGGGCUACUCUCUGCCCCCAAAAGAGCUGGAUCUCCGGGAGUCAGACAGGUGACCUCCCAGAUCCCAUAGCCAAGAACUGAAAUCCAAACCUUCUGACUCCAGAUCCUCAUACUCGCCUGAUGUUGGACACCAGAGAGAACUUCUUAACACGUACAUCUCUCUCCAAAUGGAGCUGGGCAGCCUCUAAGCGCAGUGACCUCCUCCCUGGAGCGUCCCAGCAGACACCUGCCAGGAAGUGGUUUUGAGACUGUACUUAGUAUCUAAAGUCCCUUAGAAUUCAUAAGACUCUCUGAGUCUGUAACUGGGAAAUAUUUCAAAACAAUAACCUUGAG